rnacentral:rRNA from 1 species
AUUGAACGCUGGCGGCAGGCCUAACACAUGCAAGUCGAGCGGAUGAAGGGAGCUUGCUCCUGGAUUCAGCGGCGGACGGGUGAGUAAUGCCUAGGAAUCUGCCUGGUAGUGGGGGAUAACGUCCGGAAACGGGCGCUAAUACAGCAUACGUCCUGAGGGAGAAAGUGGGGGAUCUUCGGACCUCACGCUAUCAGAUGAGCCUAGGUCGGAUUAGCGAGUUGGUGGGGUAAAGGCCUACCAAGGCGACGAUCCGUAACUGGUCUGAGAGGAUGAUCAGUCACACUGGAACUGAGACACGGUCCAGACUCCUACGGGAGGCAGCAGUGGGGAAUAUUGGACAAUGGGCGAAAGCCUGAUCCAGCCAUGCCGCGUGUGUGAAGAAGGUCUUCGGAUUGUAAAGCACUUUAAGUUGGGAGGAAGGGCAGUAAGUUAAUACCUUGCUGUUUUGACGUUACCAACAGAAUAAGCACCGGCUAACCUCGUG